rnacentral:rRNA from 1 species
AUUAAACGCUGGCGGCAUGCCUUACACAUGCAAGUCGAACGGCAGCACGGGGGCAACCCUGGUGGCGAGUGGCGGACGGGUGAGUAAAGCAUCGGAACGUAUCCUGGAGUGGGGGAUAACGUGGCGAAAGUUACGCUAAUACCGCAUAUUCUGUGAGCAGGAAAGCAGGGGAUCGCAAGACCUUGCGCUCUGGGAGCGGCCGACGUCGGAUUAGCUAGUUGGUGGGGUAAAGGCCUACCAAGGCGACGAUCCGUAGCGGGUCUGAGAGGAUGAUCCGCCACACUGGGACUGAGACACGGCCCAGACUCCUACGGGAGGCAGCAGUGGGGAAUUUUGGACAAUGGGCGGAAGCCUGAUCCAGCCAUGCCGCGUGAGUGAAGAAGGCCUUCGGGUUGUUAAAGGCUCUUUUACCCGAGAUGAUAAUGACAGUAUCGGGAGAAUAAGCUCCGGCUAACUCCGUGCCAGCAGCCGC